rnacentral:rRNA from 1 species
GGGGAAUAUUGGGCAAUGGGGGCAACCCUGACCCAGCGACGCCGCGUGAGUGAAGAAAUCCCUCGGGAUGUAAAACUCUGUUGUGUGGGAAGAUAAUGACGGUACCACACGAGGAAGCCCCGGCAAACUACGUGCCAGCAGCCGCGGUAAUACGGAGGGGGCGAGCGUUGUUCGGAAUUACUGGACGUAAAGCGCACGCAGGCGGACCAGUAAGUCUGUCGUCAAAGGCGGAGGCUCAACCUUCGUUCCACGAUAGAUACUGCGGGUCUAGAGUAUGUGAGAGGGAAGUGGUAUUCCCGGUGUAGCGGUGAAAUGCGUAGAUAUCGGGAGGAACACCAGUGGCGAAGGCGGCUUCCUGGCACACAACUGACGCUCAUGUGCGAAAGCCAGGGCAGCGAACG